rnacentral:sRNA from 1 species
AUAUCUCUCUGUACGGGAAGGAUGAGAAGCUUCGACUAAGGUUCGAUUCGAGCGCAGCGAGAAAGCGUUGCCGCAGGCAACGACCCGAAGGGCGAAGCGCGCAGCGCUCCUUCAUAGC